rnacentral:rRNA from 1 species
AUAUUCCUGUACUAGUUUAUUUUGUUUGAACGAUGGAAGGACGCAGGAGGAUGAUGUGUGCACGCUGAUGGAUAUGCGUGUCCAAGCAGUAAGUCUUGAUAUGAGUCAAAUGCUUAUAUCUUUAAGGACAAGCUGUGAUGGGGAGUGAAAUUUUAGUAACGAAGCACAAUAACUCACACUGCCAAGAAAAGUUCCUAGUUAGAAAUAAACUACCCGUACCGCAAACCGACACAGGUAGUCGAGGAGAGUAUCCUAAGGUCAGCGAGUGAACUCUCGUUAAGGAACUCGGCAAAAUGACCCCGUAACUUCGGGAGAAGGGGUGCUGGUGUAACAGCCAGCCGCAGUGAAUAGGCCCAAACAACUGUUU